AGUGAACGCUGGCGGCGUGCUUAACACAUGCAAGUCGAACGAGAACGGAUUAUAGCUUGCUAUAAUUGUCAGCUAAGUGGCGCACGGGUGAGUAAUGUAUAGGUAAUAUGCCUCUUACUAAGGGAUAACAAAUGAAAACGUUUGCUAAUACCUUAUACUCCUUAUUAACAUAAGUUAAUAAGGGAAAGAUUUAUUGAUAAGAGAUUAGCCUGUAUUGUAUCAGUUAGUUGGUGGGGUAAUGGCUUACCAAGACUAUGACACAUAACUGGUUUGAGAGGAUGAUCAGUCACACUGGAACUGAGACACGGUCCAGACUCCUACGGGAGGCAGCAGUGGGGAAUAUUGCACAAUGGACGAAAGUCUGAUGCAGCAACGCCGCGUGGAGGAUGACACAUUUCGGUGCGUAAACUCCUUUUAUAUGAGAAGAUAAUGACGGUAUUAUAUGAAUAAGCACCGGCUAACUCCGUGCCAGCCGCCGCGGUAA
rnacentral:rRNA from 1 species